rnacentral:rRNA from 1 species
UACGGAGGGUGCGAGCGUUGUCCGGAAUCAUGCUAGGGCGUAAAGAGCGCGCUAGGCGGUCGUUCAAGUCGCGUAGUCGAAAGCCCCCGGCUCAACUGGGGAGGGUCACGCGGAUACUGAUCGACUGGGAAGGCAGGGAGAGGGUAGUGGAAUUCCCGGUGUAGUGGUGAAAUGCGUAGAUAUCGGGAGGAACACCAGUGG